ACCGGGAACCGGUAAAUAUUAAUAAAGCGUUUGAAAUUUUGAUUAUGAAUUAAUGUUUAGGUUUUUUCCACUUGUAUUCAAUUGUUCAGGUUAAUUAGCUAGGAAUUUGUUAUGGUCAUUCUAUGGUAGGCUUAGAUAUAUUAAUUUGGUCAAAGUCAGAUUCGAUUCUUGUAAAUAAGGUGAAACAAACCGUUAAGCUGAACCUUGAAUUGCUUUAAUCUUGUGCUUUUUUAUCUUCGUUAAACUGAAAGUUAAUUUGUCAACUCAAGAUGUUUUAAUUAAGAUUGUGUCCUUCACCUUAAAACGUCAAAUAAUUGAAACAGUGUUUAGUAAAUAUUGGCUCAACUAUAUUGAUCACCCUUUGUUCCAACUGGAUCCCCUCUUUGGCCAUUAUACAAAAAGCUAAUCCAUACCCAUAAAUGAACAGUUGAAGUGAAGAUAGUGUGUUUACUUUGAUGUUGGCAAAAGAAAACAAAAUAAAACAAGGAGCCCAAUUUAGUUUGAAUCUCGUUGGAACCAUGUUCAGGAUUAUCAUCAUCAUUGAAAAAAAGAGGAGUAAAACAAAAAGUACAAGGUUCAGGUUCACCAGUGUUUAAUUGACUUGGAUUAAUGUUAUUGUCCCAGCGAAUCCAGAUUAUCUUUCUCUUGCUGUGAAAAUCUACAUGAGAAACAAUCAACUUCAAGUUGUCACCUCCAAUUAACCAGGCCAACAACCUUUGAAAUUGAUACAAAAUUCCAACUCUUUUAUGCCCCCAAAAAAGGUAGACAGCCAAGAAAAUGGAAAGACAAGGCAACCCAAAGGAGAUGCGGAGAAAGGCCCAACAAACAAAGCAUUCUUGACUUCAAACAACUGAUCUAUUUUAAUUAUAACUUACCUUUCCUUUAAUCAGUUAGUCAAAUUUGUUUUUCCAAUUAUACUUUCAUUACAAGUGAAAUGUACAACAAUGGAAAGCAGGAAAAAAGCAUUUCUAGGCUCAAUUUUAAUCAUCAACAACCAACAUUCAGCUAUCCAAAGCUUCAAAUCCUUGGUGAACCCAAUCCAGGCAGAGUGGUUAAAAACAAUCGUCUAAAUCAACUUGUCUGACUCUCUUAAUCAACUCAACAACGAAGGUGACAAUUAGCAAAUGAUAGUGAACCA